AAAUAAAUAUAUAAUAUAUAAAAUAUGCGCAGUGUAAAUGGUUGAGUUGUGAAAUAAUGAAAUUAAAUAAACAUUUAGCUAAAUAGGCGGUUCCAGGAGACCUAUUAUUGUAUGAGUGUUUAAAUGUAUUUUGGACAAUUUCCUGUCAAGAGUUUUAUGUUUUGGUGUUUAAUUUUUGCUCUGUGUCACUUCUUAAAUGUCCGGCAUUAGAACAAGAGGGUUCGAUUUCAGCAGCAACAUCGUCAUGUUUUCCACAGACGAGCAGAUGGGCUGUCAGUGUUUCAUGAACUCGUUCGACCUGAGGGAUCCACAGAUCGGUAAACAAUAAAAACCUCAUACAGUGCCACCAAAUACUUCAGAGGAGUCAUCACCGUCAAAUGGCAUCUUAUUGCCCUCUAGUGGGCCGAUUUGGGAAAACAUCAAAUUUACACGAAAAUGUGAGCAAAUUGAAAAAAAAGACAAUAAAACAGAAUUUAAAAAAA